rnacentral:rRNA from 1 species
GCUCCUGCGCUCUGUGAGUCGUAGCGAGGUACUCCUAUCAGAGUUGUUGGUCGUGGCUAACGGCGCACUCUAAGUCGUAACAGACGGGUAGCGGGUGUGAGAGCAUGACCCGCCGCAUCGGGACUGAGACACUGCCCGGACUCCUACGGGAGGCUGCAGUAACGAAUCUUCCGCAAUGCGCGCAAGUGUGACGGAGCAAUGCCGCGUGUGGGAUGAAGCGGUUUCGCCGUGUAAACCACUGUCAGGUCCUAGGAAGAACUGACCGGGUCCAGAGGAAGGGCCGGCUAAUCUCGUGCCAGCAGCCGCGGUAAGACGAGGGGCCCGAGCGUUAUUCGGAAUCACUGGGCUUAAAGGGUGUGUAGGCGGACUUGUAAGCGUGUCCUGUGAAAUCCCACGGCUCAACCGUGGAAUUGCGGUGCGAACUGUAGGUCUUGAGGCGGGUAGAGGCUCGUCGGAACGUUCGGUGGAGCGGUGAAAUGCGUAGAUAUCGAACGGAACGUCGAAGGCGAAGUCAGGCGAGCUGGGCCUUGUCCUGACGCUGAGGCACGAAAGCGUGGGGAUCAAACAGGAUUAGAUACCCUGGUAGUCCACGCCGUAAACGAUGUGUACUAGAUCUGUUGCGGUCUUUGACGGCGUGUCGGUCGUAGAGAAAUUGUUAAGUGCACCGCCUGGGGAGUACGGUCGCAAGGCUAAAACUCAAAGGAAUUGACGGGGGCUCACACAAGCGGUGGAGCAUGUUGCUUAAUUCGAAGCAACGCGAAGAACCUUACCUGGGUUUGACAUGCACGGAUUAGCUCUUUGGAAACAUCGAGUGACGCCCUUUCGGGGUGGAACGUGCACAGGUGCUGCAUGGCUGUCGUCAGCUCGUGCUGUGAAGUGUCGGGUUAAGUCCCUUAACGAGCGCAACCCUUGUCGCUAGUUGCCAGCGCGUAAUGGCGGGGACUCUAGCGAGACUGCCGGUGUCAAACCGGAGGAAGGUGGGGAUGACGUCAAGUCCUCAUGGCCUUUAUGCCCAGGGUGGCAAACGUGCUACAAUGGCGUGUACAGAGCGAUGCGAGGUCGCGAGGCGGAGCAAAUCGCAAAAAGCGCGCCCCAGUUCGGAUUGUAGUCUGCAACUCGACUGCAUGAAGCCGGAAUCGCUAGUAAUCGCGGAUCAGCCAUGCCGCGGUGAAUACGUUCCUGAGCCUUGUACACACCGCCCGUCAAGUC